GGGAUUGCCCUAGUAACGGCGAGUGAAGCGGCAACAGCUCAAAUUUGAAAUCUGGCCCUCGUGGUCCGAGUUGUAAUUUGUAGAGGAUGCUUUUGGUGCGGUGCCUUCCGAGUUCCCUGGAACGGGACGCCAGAGAGGGUGAGAGCCCCGUACGGUUGGACACCUACCCUAUAUAUAGCUCCUUCGACGAGUCGAGUAGUUUGGGAAUGCUGCUCUAAAUGGGAGGUAAAUUUCUUCUAAAGCUAAAUACCGGCCAGAGACCGAUAGCGCACAAGUAGAGUGAUCGAAAGAUGAAAAGCACUUUGAAAAGAGGGUUAAAUAGCACGUGAAAUUGUUGAAAGGGAAGCGUUUGCGACCAGACCUUCUCCUGGCGGAUCAUCCGGUGUUCUCACCGGUGCACUUCGCCUGGUUUAGGCCAGCAUCGGUUUCUGUAGGGGGAUAAAGGCCUGGGGCACGUAUCUCCUCCGGGAGUGUUAUAGCCCCUAGCGUAAUGCCCUUACGGGGACCGAGGACCGCGCUUCGGCAAGGAUGCUGGCGUAAUGGUCGUCAACGACCCGUCUUGAAACACGGACCAAGGAGUCGAACAUUUGUGCGAGUGUUUGGGUGUUAAACCCUCACGCGUAAUGAAAGUGAACGGAGGUGAGAGCCCUUCGGGGUGCAUCAUCGACCGAUCCUGAUGUCUUCGGAUGGAUUUGAGUAAGAGCAUAACUGUUCGGACCCGAAAGAUGGUGAACUAUGCGUGGAUAGGGUGAAGCCAGAGGAAACUCUGGUGGAGGCUCGCAGCGGUUCUGACGUGCAAAUCGAUCGUCAAAUCUGCGCAUGGGGGCGAAAGACUCAUCGAACCAUACGGC
rnacentral:rRNA from 1 species